CCAGCAGAUAAUAGCUUUUAAAGAGUACUAUGAAAUGGCAAGCUUGUUAACAUCUCAUAUGUAUUUCCUUUCUAUAGGUGAUUUUCUUCCACCCCCACCUCCACCCUUAGAUGACCCUGGUACCCUUCCACCUGGCUCUGGACACUUCCCUCCUCCUCCACCUCUGGAUGAAGGCGCUUUCAAAGUACAGCAGGGAAAUCCUGGAGGCAAGACCCUGGAGGAAAGGCGGUCCAGUCUGGAUGCCGAAAUUGAUUCCUUGACCAGUAUCCUGGCUGAUCUGGAGUGCAGCUCUCCCUACAAGCCUCGGCCCCCACAGAGCGCUGUUGGCAGCACAGAGGGGCAGCCACAGAGUCUGUAAUGAGAACCAAUGGUACCUGUGUUCUUGGACAAUUUGCAACAAACUCCCCAAACUUCAUUUUCUUCAUCGUUAAAGUAGAGACAAAAAGAGGAUCUUCAUCACCUCUGUGUAAAGCAUCUUGACAAGACUUGGUGUAAUAUGUGUCUGUUAUUAUUCAAGUUUAUCACCUUUGAAUGCUCUCCAAAUAUACUCUCACCUUGUCUCUGUGACUCUGAUCACAGUAUGUGCGGCAAACAAGACUCCUCCUCUCACUUCCAGAGUAGCUGUGUGUGCAGGAAGACACGAGAGCAUCCAAACAGAGCUCAGCCCAUCUCUACCUUCUGGAUUGAGGAUGCGCCAUCUGAAAGUUUAAUAUAAUAAUUCAUUUCUCUACACCACUUAGUAUUCUGACUUAUGUGUUGCAGGUAUUUAGAAAUAUUCCAUAUCAAUUUUGUAGUCAUAUAGACUCUCAAGGCCGGGGAUAUCUGUGCUGAAUUUCUCCCAGUGCCAAAGAUCCCAGUGCCUUGAGAUAAGCUGCUAUACUUGAAGAAGUGAGAAAGUGACCAUUUUAUAUAUACAUAUUUAUACUUUUAUUUGUAUCUCAGAGGUUGAAGGUAAAUCCCUAUUGUUGAUGACAUCACACACUUUACACAGAACUUGGAAGACUCUGGCUGUCUCUAACCUGAAGGCCUCCUUCCUAAAGUCUAGCUUUUACAUAACAGAAUGUGCUGUGCAAGUUGCAGUGGAAGUAAUCAGUGCUAUCCAGUGGUGAUGUCUGGGAACCCAACCGUGGCCACCAUGACAAAAUAUCCCUAAAGGUACAGUAGUGGGUCUUAUAUCUCAGAGGGAACCAACAGUUGUCUAAUUGGACUCAGGGCUCACUCAGCAGGAGAGAAAUGGUGCCUGAUAUCCGAUCAGUAAGGUCUUCGAUCUUAGGGCAGAACCUACUACUGCUACUUUACUAGACCAUCAUAAUCCCUUAGCUUCAUUAGAAAGCUUAACCAUAUACGUGCAGUUGAGUCUAGCUCUCACCCUGCAUCAGAUAAGCUUUUCUUUGCAGCAGCUAGAGACCCUUAUAGAAAGCACAGCUGGUCCAAAUACAGAGCCCAACUGAUGAUGUUGUGCCCAGUCCUCUGCAACCACACAGCUCUUACACCCAGGGUUUUUGAUAUGGUCUCUUAUUUUUACAUCAAGACUUGACUGCUGGGUGACUGGAGAGAUGACAUAGUGGGUAGAGUGCUUCCUAAACAAGCAUGGAGACCUGAGUUUGGAUAGCCAGAAUUCAUAUAAAAAGCCAAGUUUGUACUCGGGGUUACAGGGAGUCAGGCAGAUAUACAUGGAUCCUAGGGACUCCCUGGCCAGGUAGUCUAGCUAAAGUGCUACAUUGAGAGACUGUCUCAAAGGAAAAGGAAGACACACAUACACACACACACACACACACACACACACACACACACACACAUUUUCUGGGAGUUGUCAGAGGUGUAGAAAAUAGGAGGAUGCACUGGGCGUUGGUGGCACAUGCCUUUAAUCCCAGCAGUAGGGAGGCAGAGUCAGGUGGAUCUCUGUGAGUUUGAGGCCAGCCUGGUCUCCAGAACGAGUGGCAGGAUAGGCUCCAAAGCUAUACAGAGAAACCCUGUCUUGAAAAAACAAAAAAGAAAGAAAGAAAAUAGGAGGAUGCAAAAUAGAAAUUUAUAUAGCCCUAGUUCAAGCAAUAGGUAAAUUACUUUGGUUGUCUUUCUCUUUACUUAGCUCUGUAUUUUGCAAAAAAACAACAUAUUCCUUGUUUAAAGGUAAAGAUAGCAAACUUGCUACUUCCAACAUAUGUAUGGCCAUCUUUACCGGAAGUGAGUUCAUAGGUACAUUUCUAGGCAUUUGUUUUAUGCACAUGGAUACUACAUUUACAGACACCAUGAAAGAUACCUCCCUGGCAUAGUUUUGUUGGUAAUGUUUAAAUAAACAUUAUUGAGUAAUGGCUACAUAGUUAUAUUUAAAAAGUUUGUAUGUCUGUGAAAGCAUUAUACUCUAAAAUGAAAUUUUAAUACUGGUUAUAAAAGUUGUAGUUUAUUUUAAACUACUGAAACUUUCUGAGGCUCAAAGUUUUUAAAUUUUCAUAUAUUGAAACUAUUCAGUUCACUAUAAAAAAAACAACAACCACUGGGUAAUAUUUUACUGUAUUUAAAAAUGUAGACUUGUUGAGAUAGCCUAUCUUUAAUUAAAGUCUUUCAAAGAUGGCUUAUGUAACUGUUUGAAAGGAUGACAAUUUUGCUCCUUUUCAAAGCACUGUCAUGUUUGAUUUCAUUUUUGUUAUUAUAGUUGAUGUUUUAUUUUAGGGUUGGUUUUUUUUCCCUUUGUACUGUUAGCAAAGGUUCAUUCUUUUUGGUUCAUUAUACAGCACUGUUUUACAUAGGCUAUAAUAAUUUCUAUGGCUCUUUAGUGCCAAGCAAGGGCUCCCUUAAUUGGUGUUGUAAUAUCACAGAUCUAGUUAAGUAGUUUAGAAGAUAAAGCUGAUAAACAUGUGGAUGUUUCAUGGUAGUGUUAAGAGAUCGUGCUGUCCUCUGCAGAUACUUUUUGUUUAUAUGUAGUACUUAUAGGAAAUGUGCAUAUAUCUUUUGUGUUUUUAGAUAGUCAUUUAGUACAUCUAGAGUUUGAAAUGAACAUUGAUGUUUAGCUGAUCUCUCCCACUGGUGAAGAAACUACGGAAUGGCAGGAGCAUUGCAAGCUGGAAGACCCAUCCAGUCCCUAGCUUGAACUCAGGCUUAUGGUGAAAAAGUAGACUCCUGUUACUAGAUCCUUGGGAUGGAGUUCUGUUUCCUUGACCCAUGAUCUCCAAGAACGUCAUGUCUGAAGUUCAGCACCAUGUAUGAAGUUCCGCAGUGUCAUUUUGUCAGUUUCUUGAUUUAACAAGUACCAACUGAGGGUGUUUUCUACCCUUAAGAUAAACUAUUUUUAAAAGUCAAGUAAGUAUUAAGCAAUGUAGUUUGGUAUCUGUUAUUUCUCUUCUUUUCAUAUUUCUCCUUCUUGCCUCAGUGCUCAGAUAAGAAUUCCCACAAACAGACAAUGACUUUCAGAGUCAGGUGAGCAUGUCUUAAUUUUUACCUGGAACAAAAGUGUUCAGGUUACACAGACACCCCUAUGUGCCCUUGAGUGAAUUGUCUAGCUGUGUUGUUAAGGCAUACUCACCCAUGCUACAUUGCUUGGAUUUCUUACAAUGAAAGAUAUAAAUCAAUCCCCCCACAUCUAUGGACUACAAAAUAUGAAUAUCACUUAACUUGCCAACCUGAAUUUAGGCCUCCACUUCUGUCAUAGAAUUAUUCCUGAUUCCUUUUCUCCAUUUUCCCUGAUGCUCCAGUUUAAUAUCUUUGUUAAGGAAGAUAAUUUCUAAACAUAUGUUCUCGACUUCUGUCAUAUCAGUCACGUUAGUGGAUCUCAUUUGCUCUGUACCUAGUCACACGAGGAAGUAUCAUUGCACAGUGUGAAAGACUUCAACUGGGCAGAAUCUCCACAAUUGUCAGCAUCUUUCCUAAUGCCCCAGUUGUGUUUCCUUUGGUGUGUCUUCCUUUCUUGCCUGGAUUUUAUAAUCCCUUUCCAGUGUACAUGACACAGGGCCGAAGAUGAGCCUUUCUGCAGUACACUUGAUCCUCUGCUGCAGUAGCUGUUGAUUCUCUGACAGUAGGUUUCCCAAUGAAAGGGAGCAAUGGGGACGCACCAGCACCAGCAACAAUUCGACUGCCAAUGAAAUCACUUAUUUGUGAUUGCUCUUAGAUGUUUCUUCCCAAAUAUCACUGUUUUGAGAUUAGAAACUUUGGGAGUUCAAUGAUGGAGGGUUUAAUACUGAGGUGUUAGGCCUGUGUCUGGCUUAAUGAACAUCAGAAAUGAAUACAAGAGUGGCUGUAGUACAUAAAAAGUAAGGUAGGUGGGCAGUGGACAUUUUGUUAGAAGUCUGUUCCUGGCAUUUUGAUAUGCUGUGUGAACCUUUUCACCCUUUAUUUUCAGAAGCAACUUUUUGCAGAGAGAGAAGCAUAAUUCAUAGGUUUGCAAAUAAGAAAUUUUAAAGUGUUGCUUUAUGGUCCUCAUCUUGACAUUAAAUAUGUUUGAAUCAUAUUGCACAAAUCUGUUAAAGCAGUUGAUUUCUUACCUAGGACAAUAUAAGUUGCUUUUUGAAGAAUUUCAAAAUUUGUGGAUCUAUUAC